AAAAGCAUGGGUUUCUGUCGAAUGGUCCAGAAUUACACGGUUUUAAUUAAUUAUGGUCUCACUUAAGAAAUAAUGUAUUAAAAAAUACAAAUAAUGGUUGUUGAAGUGUCUUAUCUAGGUUGUUUCUGUCAAUUGUUCACUGACGUCCGCUUUAAUUUCUCUGCUCUUAAACGUGACGUGGCUUUCCUUUGCAGCCGGAAGAGAGACAGGUUUGCUUGUCUGAUGCUGAGCAGCUGAAGUAUCGCUCGAACCCAGUGUAAAACCCCAAUUUAAGGGAUCAUAAUGGUGACGGACGUGCAGCUGGCCAUAUUCGCCAACAUGCUUGGCGUGUCAUUGUUCCUGCUGGUUGUGCUGUAUCACUACGUUGCUGUCAAUAACCCCAAGAAGCUGGAGUAGAGUCCCCCCAGUAUGGUCGAAGAGGUGAGAUGGGAGUCAAUACCAUCACCAUGGAAACAACAUUCCCCACUUCAGUCCCAAGAGAUGAAUUUCUUUGUAAGAUUGCACAGUAGUGUUUUUUUCUAAUAAAAAAAAUGUAUAUGGCUUU